GGCGCACGGGUGCGUAACGCGUAUGCAAUCUACCUUUCACAGAGGGAUAGCCCAGAGAAGUUUGGAUUAAUACCUCAUAGUAUUAUAGAGUGGCAUCACUUUAUAAUUAAAGUCACAACGGUGAAAGAUGAGCAUGCGUCCCAUUAGCUAGUUGGUAAGGUAACGGCUUACCAAGGCAACGAUGGGUAGGGGUCCUGAGAGGGAGAUCCCCCACACUGGUACUGAGACACGGACCAGACUCCUACGGGAGGCAGCAGUGAGGAAUAUUGGACAAUGGGCGCAAGCCUGAUCCAGCCAUGCCGCGUGCAGGAUGACGGUCCUAUGGAUUGUAAACUGCUUUUGCACAGGAAGAAACACUCGGACGUGUCCGAGCUUGACGGUACUGUGAGAAUAAGGAUCGGCUAACUCCGUGCCAGCAGCCGCGGUAAUACGGAGGAUCCAAGCGUUAUCCGGAAUCAUUGGGUUUAAAGGGUCCGUAGGCGGUUUAGUAAGUCAGUGGUGAAAGCCCAUCGCUCAACGGUGGAACGGCCAUUGAUACUGCUAAACUUGAAUUAUUAGGGAGUAACUAGAAUAUGUAGUGUAGCGGUGAAAUGCUUAGAGAUUACAUGGAAUACCAAUUGCGAAGGCAGGUUACUACUAAUGGAUUGACGCUGAUGGACGAAAGCGUGGGUAGCGAACAGGAUUAGAUACCCUGGUAGUCCACGCCCUAAACGAUGUCAACUGGUUGUUGGGUCUCUUCUGACUCAGUAACGAAGCUAACGCGUGAAGUUGACCGCCU
rnacentral:rRNA from 1 species